rnacentral:rRNA from 1 species
UAACGGAAGGCAGCAGUGGGGAAUAUUGCACAAUGGGCGAAAGCCUGAUGCAGCUAUGCCGCGUGUAUGAAGAAGGCCUUAGGGUUGUAAAGUACUUUCAUCGGGGAGGAAAAAACAAAACUAAUAAUUUUAUUUCUUGACGUUACCCGAAAAAGAAGCACCGGCUAACUCCGUGCCAGCAGCCGCGGUAAUACGGAGGGUGCUAGCGUUAAUCAGAAUUACUGGGCGUAAAGAGCACGUAGGUGGUUUUUUAAGUCAGAUGUGAAAUCCCUGGGCUUAACCUAGGAACUGCAUUUUGAAACUGAAAUACUAGAGUAUCGUAGAGGGAGGUAGAAUUCUAGGUGUAGCGGUGAAAUGCGUAGAUAUCUGGAGGAAUACCUGUGGCGAAAGCGGCCUCCUAAACGAAUACUGACACUGAGGGUGCGAAAGCGUGGGGAGCAAACAGGGAUUAGAUACC